AGGAUGGGAGGAGGCAGUCCAAGCCUUUGAGACACUCGCAUUUCUUGCCAAUCUAGCAACGUUAGUCGUUAUGGGACUAAGAUUUACUGUUAUGAAAGAACAGAAGAUAUUGCCAAUUGGAAUCAUUUUAUUUCAGUUUGCUUCAGUUGGUCUUAUCCUUCUAGGUGUGAUCAUAUAUGGUGUCAAAAGCCCUUUAACUAGCUAUGGAUUCGCGUUUGUUUUUGAGAUUAUAUCUGCGAACAUGAUUCUUGUUGCUGGUAUCUUCAGUGUCUUGGAUUGGAGAGGCACUUCUUUACCUGCAGUUAAACAAUAGUACAAUCGAAAUACGAAUUGCAAGUUGCAUUUAUUGAUAUUGCUACUGAACUUUCGUGUAUAUUGUUUUUUUCCGAGUACUAUAUAUUGUUAAAAUAAAAAUACUAUUAAUGUUAA